rnacentral:rRNA from 1 species
GACGAACGCUGGCGGCGUGCUUAACACAUGCAAGUCGAACGGAAAGGCCCUGCUUUUGUGGGGUGCUCGAGUAGCGAACGGGUGAGUAACACGUGAGUAACCUGCCCUUGACUUUUGGAUAACUUCAGGAAACUGGGGCUAAUACCGGAUAGGAGCUCCUGCUGCAUGGUGGGGGUUGGAAAGUUUCGGCGGUUGGGGAUGGACGCGCGGCUUAUCAGCUUGUUGGUGGGGUGGUGGCUUACCAAGGCUUUGACGGGUAGCCGGCCUGGGAGGGUGACCGGCCACAUUGGGACUGAGAUAGGGCCCAGCCUGAUACGGGAGGCAGGAGGGGGGAAGAUUGCAUAAUGGGCGGAAGGCUGAUGCAGGAACGGCGGGUGCGGGAUGAAGGCCUUCGGGUUGUAAACCGAUUUCGCCUGUGACGAAGCGUGAGUGACGGUAAUGGGUAAAGAAGCACCGGCUAACUACGUG